rnacentral:rRNA from 1 species
AGACCCGAAACCCGGUGAUCUAGCCAUGGGCAGGUUGAAGGUUGGGUAACACUAACUGGAGGACCGAACCGACUAAUGUUGAAAAAUUAGCGGAUGACCUGUGGCUGGGGGUGAAAGGCCAAUCAAACCGGGAGAUAGCUGGUUCUCCCCGAAAGCUAUUUAGGUAGCGCCUCGUGAAUUCAUCUCCGGGGGUAGAGCACUGUUUCGGCUAGGGGGCCAUCCCGGCUUACCAACCCGAUGCAAACUGCGAAUACCGGAGAAUGUUAUCACGGGAGACACACGGCGGGUGCUAACGUCCGUCGUGAAGAGGGAAACAACCCAGACCGCCAGCUAAGGUCCCAAAGUCAUGGUUAAGUGGGAAACGAUGUGGGAAGGCCCAGACAGCCAGGAUGUUGGCUUAGAAGCAGCCAUCAUUUAAAGAAAGCGUAAUAGCUCACUGGUCGAGUCGGCCUGCGCGGAAGAUGUAACGGGGCUAAACCAUGCACCGAAGCUGCGGCAGCGAACGUAUCACUUAAAGCGAUUCAGCGGGUUACGAUUGACGGAGCGAAGCGACGUCAAAGUGUAUACAAAGUCGAGUCGGUUUAAGGAUACGUUCGUUGGGUAGGGGAGCGUUCUGUAAGCCUGCGAAGGUGGCCUGUGAGGG